GGCACUUUGGCCGAGUGGUUAAGGCGUUGGCCUGCUACCAGUCAUCUGAUAGCUGAGACAGCCAAUGGGUUCGCCCGCGAGUGUUCGAAUCACUCAGGUGUCG
rnacentral:tRNA from 1 species